CCUACGGGUGGCAGCAGUGGGGGAUAUUGCACAAUGGGGGGAACCCUGAUGCAGCGACGCCGCGUGGGCGAAGAAGCGCCUCGGCGCGUAAAGCUCUGUCAGCAGGGACGAAACCGACGGUACCUGACGAAGAAGCCCCGGCCAACUACGUGCCAGCAGCCGCGGUAAUACGUAGGGGGCAAGCGUUAUCCGGAUUUACUGGGUGUAAAGGGGGCGCAGACGGGAAGGCAAGCCAGGAGUUAAAGGCCGGGGCCCAACCCCCGGACUGCUCGUGGAACUGGGGGGCUGGAGUGCAGGAGGGGCAGACGGAAUUCCUGGUGUAGCGGUGAAAUGCGUAGAUAUCAGGAGGAACACCGGUGGCGAAGGCGGCCUGCUGGACUGCAACUGACGUUGAGGCCCGAAAGCGGGGGGAGCAAACGGGAUUAGAUACCCUAGUAGUC
rnacentral:rRNA from 1 species